rnacentral:lncRNA from 1 species
AUCAAUUAAUAAGAAUAGGAAUAGAAACGUUAUCCAAGAGUUUCUUAUCCAAAUUACAUUAGAAACGUCAUUUUGGGGAUGGAAAGGUUUCGGCCAAGAUUUUCUUUGAGCAGUGUGAUUGCGUUGAGCUUUUUAUAUGACUUGUUCCAUGUUUCGGCAAUUAACGUGUGUUAGAGGGAUUAUCAAGAGAAUCGACUCAGCUAUGUUAAGGUUAUUCCAUUUUUCUUUUGGCAUGAUAUAUACGACACAAACAAAACGAGCAAAUGCACAAUUUCCAUAAAUGACUCUAUUCGUAGAAAUGCUAGGGAUGCUUAUAUUCUUCAUUCUCCAUAUGUUUUAUUAUUCUAUCGUCUGUUCAUGGGUCCCAGCAAAUAUAUAAGUUGAUAAAAGUUAUUUCGUGAUAUUAAUCAGGGGCAUAAUGGUCUUAUCAGGGGUGUUUUUGUUUUUUUUUUGUUUUUUCCUUUUGGAGGCCAAUUCACUCACCAAUAUAAGAAGUUAAAACUUUCUAAAUCACUCAAUUACCAGUAAGUGUCUGAAAAGAAUUAGGAGUAUCACAUAAAGAUUGUUUAGUAUGAUUUCUUCCUUUUUUGCUCCUUUUUCCCCAUAAAUCUUCAGUUGUUCACAUGGUUUACCUUUGUGUACGCCUCCAAUAAAGUUUUAAAAUUUCCGAAGGUGCAGCAAAGCAUUAUAUAGUAUGAGAAACCUGAGAAUCUAAGAGCAACAAAUUUGUACAAGUAAACUUACUCUCUAAAUAUAUUGAGUUUCUAGCCUCAUUUGCUACACUAAUCGAAGAGUUGCAUCUGUUUUCCACACGUCUGUCCAUGAUUGCAUCCAUUUUUAGCAGAUAUUAGCCUUCUUCUUGUUAUUUCACCUUUCAACUGUCUUGUUUGUACUAGUAUGAGCUACUUGCGUCUUAGGUUUACUAUCAUUCGUACCAAGAGGUUUUAUUAACGUAUUUCAUAUGCAUUUCAUGCAUUUAUACAUGCACAUUAAACCAUGACCAUAUGGCAUUACAUAUGCAUAUAUACAUAUAUNNNNNNNNNNNNNNNNNNNNNNNNNNNNNNNNNNNNNNNNNNNNNNNNNNNNNNNNNNNNNNNNNNNNNNNNNNNNNNNNNNNNNNNNNNNNNNNNNNNNNNNNNNNNNNAUAUAUGUAUGUAUAUGUAUGUAUAUGGGAAAGGUUAUGGCAUUAUAUACGCACCACCACCUGAUCAACUGGUAUGCAUUCAUGAUUUUGCCCACAGUGGCCGAGAUGAUAUGAUAGGAUGCCCUCAGAGAUUUGAUGAUGUUAUGAACACAUGUACCUAUGCACGACAUGACAUUCAUAUGUAUAUGCAUGACACUAUAAGUAUUACAUGAUUUACAGAGUUAUCCAGACUUACAAGUCGAGUCCUUUAUUCCAUGUUUCGCUCAUGUCUAUUGUCUAUUAUUUACUGAUUUUCAUUCCUUGCAUACUCGGUACAUUAUUUGUACUGACGUCCCUUUUGCCUAGGGACGCCGCGUUCAUGCUCGAAGGUUCCGAUAGACAGGUCGAGUCCUUCAAGUAGGCCAUCAGAUAAGCGAAAGAUGUUGGUGCGCUCCAUUUGCUCCGGAGUUGCUUAUUUUGUCAGUAUGAUAUAGACGUGUAUUGUUUGAUAUGGCGGGGCCCUGCCCCGACGUUUGUGAUAAGUAUGUACUCUUAGAGGCUUGUAGAUAGAUAUAAUGAAUACGAACACAUGUAUGGCCUUGCCGGCCUAUGUUUUGAGUUUACAAAUGAUCAUGUUGGCCUUAUAGGCCCGUAUGUCACAUGUAUAAGUUUUUAUGUCAGGUUGGGUCGUUCUAUAUUGACUAUUCCCUUAUUUUUAUUCUGGUUAGCCCAUGACAUCCCUCUUGACCCAUUUGCCAAUGAAAGUAUAAUAAGAAAUAUAUAUUAUUGUAUACGGUGAAAUCGGUGGGUCCAAUUUCUUGCUAUUAAGGCACUUGGGAAGAUCACAUCGAAGGAUCUAGACCACGGCCGAGUAUCCUCCCUCGAGGGUCGUCGACAGUCGACCUCGAGGCAGUAAUGAUUACGGUAAUGGUAGAAAUGGGGAGUUCCCAAGGUAACGGCUAGGACUGACAAAGCCUGGUGGACUACUCUAAACCCAAAUCAGGGCGUCAUCUAGAUGUCCCAUCCCUAAAUCUUUGUCAUUAAUGUAUUUUGUACUAUGUUGGGAUACCCCUCCUAUAUAAAGGGGAUCCUUGUCAUUUUGUAAACCCCUGUUGCUUCAGUUGCUCACACGAAAUAUAGAAGAAC